CGACCUACUACAUAAUGACGCCUCUCUCCGCCAGGGGAAGGAGUGGCGCUGGCGUCUGUCGGCAGACUUGAGGUUGGGAGCCUUAGACUAAGUG
rnacentral:lncRNA from 1 species